rnacentral:rRNA from 1 species
ACCGGCGCACGGGUGCGUAACGCGUAUGCAAUCUACCUAUUGCAGGGGAAUAGCCCAGAGAAAUUUGGAUUAAUGCCCCAUAGUACUAUUGAAUAGCAUUAUUUAAUAGUUAAAGAUUUAUCGGCAAUAGAUGAGCAUGCGUCCUAUUAGCUAGUUGGUGUGGUAACGGCACACCAAGGCUACGAUAGGUAGGGGUCCUGAGAGGGAGAUCCCCCACACUGGUACUGAGACACGGACCAGACUCCUACGGGAGGCAGCAGUGAGGAAUAUUGGACAAUGGGCGAGAGCCUGAUCCAGCCAUGCCGCGUGCAGGAAGACUGCCUUAUGGGUUGUAAACUGCUUUUAUACAGGAAGAAACAUCCCGACGUGUCGGGACUUGACGGUACUGUAAGAAUAAGGAUCGGCUAACUCCGUGCCAGCAGCCGCGGUAAUACGGAGGAUCCAAGCGUUAUCCGGAAUCAUUGGGUUUAAAGGGUCCGUAGGCGGGCUUGUAAGUCAGUGGUGAAAGUCUGUGGCUCAACCAUAGAAUUGCCAUUGAUACUGCUAGUCUUGAAUUAUUAUGAAGUGGUUAGAAUAUGUAGUGUAGCGGUGAAAUGCUUAGAUAUUACAUGGAAUACCAAUUGCGAAGGCAGAUCACUAAUAAUAUAUUGACGCUGAGGGACGAAAGCGUGGGUAGCGAACAGGAUUAGAUACCCUGGUAGUCCACGCCGUAAACGAUGGAUACUAGCUGU